rnacentral:rRNA from 1 species
UUUUGGACAAUGGGCGAAAGCCUGAUCCAGCCAUUCCGCGUGAGUGAAGAAGGCCUUCGGGUUGUAAAGCUCUUUCGCACCCCCAAGAAAACUUAGGCGCUAAUAUCGCUUGAGGUUGACGGUACCUUGAUAAGAAGCACCGGCUAACUACGUGCCAGCAGCCGCGGUAAUACGUAGGGUGCGAGCGUUAAUCGGAAUUACUGGGCGUAAAGCGUGCGCAGGCGGUUUUGUAAGUCAGAUGUGAAAUCCCCGAGCUCAACUUGGGAACUGCGUUUGAAACUAUAAGACUAGAAUAUGUCAGAGGGGGGUAGAAUUCCACGUGUAGCAGUGAAAUGCGUAGAGAUGUGGAGGAAUACCAAUGGCGAAGGCAGCCCCCUGGGAUAAUGUUGACGCUCAUGCACGAGA